GAUGAACGCUGACAGAAUGCUUAACACAUGCAAGUCUUUGGCGAAGCUGUGCUUGCACAGCCUAGCCAAGGCGGACGGGUGAGUAACGCGUAAGGAACUUGCCCUGCAGUCAGGGAUAACAGACGGAAACGACUGAUAAGACCUGGUAAAGUCAGGCGGACUCAUGUCCAGCCUGAUGAAAAGAGAUGCUGCAGGAGAGCCUUGCGUCCUAUUAGCUUGUUGGUGGGGUAACGGCCCACCAAGGCGAUGAUAGGUAGCCGGCCUGAGAGGGUGGACGGCCACAAGGGGACUGAGAUACGGCCCUUACUCCUACGGGAGGCGGCAGUGGGGAAUAUUGGACAAUGGGGGCAACCCUGAUCCAGCAAUUCUGUGUGCACGAUGAAGGUUUUCGGAUUGUAAAGUGCUUUCAGCAGGGAAGAAAAAAAUGACGGUACCCGCAGAAGAAGCGACGGCUAAAUACGUG
rnacentral:rRNA from 1 species